GAGCGGAGCGCUGACGGAGUAUGUGGAAUCUGGGGUCACAGUGUUGCGCCGCAUAUCGUGGAGGGAGCGAGUUUCAGCGUACCGUAGUGUUCCUGAUAUCCUGCCUUGUUCUGCCUCUCAACUACUGAGCUUGCCUGUUCCCAUCUGAACAUUCUGCCUGAACUCUCUGUGGAUUCCUGGAACCCUGAACCAGCCUGUUCCUGUUCUGAUUUGAACCCCUGAAUGGGCUCCGGACUCCUGGAUCUCUGAACUGUCCUCUUCUGAUGCGUUUCCCUGACCGGCCUUCAGACUCCUGCAUGUUUUCUAGGGGUUCCAGCAUCUGGUUCACUCUGGGAGGCACCCACACAUCUUGUUGGCAGCCCACCGACUGGAUCCUACUUCGUUCUAAGGAGAUGAACUAAACUGUUGAACCAGGGGUUUAAUGGCAUCACCUGUUCAUCACAGUGAUGGAUCAGCUGAUUGCUGGUGAGUCAGCCAUUAAAGGAGCCCCUCCCUGCUGUGUGCUUCUCUCUCUAUGCAUGUGACUCUGAUGACAUCACAUGGGAACCAUGAUCAUGUCCUGUGAUCUCACAUUUUCAGGUGAGGCACAUCUCCCAAUGUCAUGUGUCUCAAAUGGAAUGGAAACCAAACAAGAUUUAUUUUCUUAAU